rnacentral:tRNA from 1 species
CACUGAGAUAGCUCAGUUGGUAGAGCAUGAAACUCAUAAUCACAGGAUUGUGGGUUCAAGCCCAAAGUUGGGUGA